rnacentral:lncRNA from 12 species
CGCACUGGUGCUGGGGUCACCAUGGCACCCAAGAGUCAUCAGUUCAGAGAGGGCUUCAAUGCAGGCGCCUGGGGGGACUGUGGGAUGCCACAAAUAUCCUUUCUCCAAGCAAUUCCAAAGUCUGGAAAUAGAGGAACUUCUGUGAAGAUGAGCAAACUCUACAACCCUUGUCAGACCCUACUUGACCCCACUCAAAACCCCAUCUGAGCAUCUGUCCCCAUCUGUUUAGAGACGUGAGGGUUAUUUUCGGCACUGUCUGAAUGAAUGUUCAUCCUUCUCAUGGUAACAGGUGGAAUAUGGAGAGUUGAUGUCUUGGUCUACAAAAGCCUUUACAGAGAUGACACACUUUCCACUCCAGGAGCACCCACAUCAAAAAACAAGGUGAUAGGAAAGAAAAAGGAUGCCAGACACAUUAGCAUGAGCCCUGGCUGUGGAGGAGGAAUGGUGGGAAGAUCAGAAAGGAAGGGGCUGCUGCCAUGUCAUUAUGCCCCAUGCAGAGGAAGACUCCAAACUCAACACUGCCUGAGGUGCCACUGGAAAUACCAGCUUCCAAAGCGAUGGGCAAAAAGGUCAACACAUCUGAACCUAUUACCGCCUCCUGCAAGCUCGACACAUUGCUGUGUUUAG